rnacentral:ncRNA from 2 species
CAACGGCUUUAGGGGUGUACCUGUAACACAGGCACUGAGAUGAUACCCUUUGAACCUGAUCCGGAUAAUGCCGGCGAAGGGAAAAGUAAAUGUUAGUUC